rnacentral:lncRNA from 1 species
AGAUGAUUGUGUGUGUGCCAGGGGCGGAGCCCAAUGGAAUCCAUAUGCCCGCACUGAACGUUUGGGCUCAACCACAUAGCCCAAAUUUAUUUAUUUUUUAAUUUUUUUAAUUUCCUCCAGUUCCAGCCCAGCUAUCCAGCGAAGCCCACUAGCCCAUUAACCCAACAUGAUCGAUACCCAUAAAAAAGAUACAACCCAUAACUCAUUCCCAAUUUCUGCCAUUAAAUUGAAAUUAUUGUAUCAAUUCAAGAUUUUCAUUUUUCAACCACCCCCGUCGCCCAUCUACACCCUACUCCGGUGCCACCUCAGCCUCAACCAAUCAACCUCCUCCUCCUCCCUCUGAUGACUAACUUCUAUCUUGCUCAGUUGCUCCGUAACCAUAAGGUAUGCCAGUCCCGCCAGUCUUUAACCUCCGUUGAAGGGUUGCAACAUUUUGGCUCAGGUGAUUCUUCCGGCGGCAAUCGACAGCCCUCAUAGCAAAAGAAGGUCUGAUUCGUCUCAAGGUGAAGCCCCAAUUUUUCAAAUUCCACCGACCCUGAAUCCCUGAUUGGCUGAUUAUUCACUAGCUCAUUUUGAAUUUUAUUUUUUUAUUUAUUUUUUUUUUGUUAUUCUGAUUUAUGUGAUUUGGUGGGUUUUUUUUUUUUUUUAAACAUAUGGAAUUAGGCAAUUAGCAACUCUUCAAUUGCUCGAACUGGAAGCCGCAUUGCCGUUUGCCAUUGCAUUUACACCGUGGGUUGCUUGCUUCCUCUCUGUCACUGGAAUUUUGAAAUAGUAUAUAUUGCCUUGUGAAUGAGAUUGUGAUCUGUGAAUCGAUGAAUGUGUUGGCUUGUUGCCUUGUGAAUUGCUUAUAAUAUUGGUAUUGCUAUGGCCUCUGUGAAUGGAAUUACUCUGUGAAUUACUUUGCUUUGCCUUUUCUUAUAGAAUUGCUCCCACUCCCAAUAAAUUUUUUUUUCAUCAUUAAAUUCAUUACCAAAACCUCGACGUUUGGAGUCAAAUUUUUUUUGCCCGCAUUGAAUAAAAUCCUGUCCGUCUCUCUGUGUGUGCGCGGGCGUGUUUUUUUUUAUUUUUAAAAUUUUUAAUUAUUUAAUGUGAUAAAAGGAAAUGUUACUUUUUU